GCGGGGAUGCCCGAGCUUGGCCAAAGGGGGCGGACUUAAGAUCCGCUGGUGAAGACCUGCGUGGGUUCAAGUCCCACUCCCCGCA
rnacentral:tRNA from 1 species